rnacentral:tRNA from 1 species
GCUCGAAGUUGGAGUGAGGUAGCAAAUUGUAAAGAUCGCCCUCUCACGGCGAAAACAGGGGUUCGAGUCCCCUAGGGAGCGCCA